UUGAAGUAAAUCAAGUAAACAUCACUGACAAAUUUGUGAAGAUAUUUUUAAUAACUGUUAAUUCGUUGAAACACAAAUAAUCAGCAGUCGAAGAGCUCAGAGUUAUUAAAAGGGAAGUUGGAGUGAUUGAAGGAGAAGGUACAGGGAGUCAUCGACGAGGCAGGAAAAACGGAGCUGGGUAAAAAAGCUGGGCAAUUGGACUAUAUCACAGACCGCAGAAGUCGUUAGGAAAGAAUUAGACAAUCAUGGGAUUCAAGGACGAGUCUGUAUUAAUGUACUAUUGACUAAAUUGAGAAAACGAAAGGAGAGAUUAGAGAUAUUAGAGAUCAUUAUUAAUACAGAGGCGACCGGUGUUCUGGACAAGGGGAAUAGUUCAACAUCAAAAUUUGAUGGAAAUAGUGGCCAGCAACUAGCGUGUGGAAUUAUCGCGAGAUCAUCAGGAGUCUUCGAAAAUACGAAAAGAAUUUGUGCCUGUGAUGGGACGACCCUGUGGGAUGAACGAGAUGAGUCUAAACAAAAAGGUUCAUUCAAAAAUACUUUCAUAUAUCCAGGUAAAUGAACCACAGCCUAAUACUCGUAGUAUUUACCGAUUGAAUACAAUUCUAAAAGCCAAUGUUUUGUGUGUCUUUUCAGUGUGUGGUAAUAAUCUUUAAAUUCGACCCAGAGUGGAUAGUGCACUUUUGGAAAACUACUAUAAAUUUAUUUCUGUAUGCAGGUCAUGUAAAAGUCAUAUCAUUCCAUAAUAUUCCUGAUGAAACAUUUUUAUAUUUCAGUUUUUACUUAU